AGUGAACGCUGGCGGUAGGCCUAACACAUGCAAGUCGAACGGCAGCACAGUAAGAGCUUGCUCUUACGGGUGGCGAGUGGCGGACGGGUGAGGAAUACAUCGGAAUCUACUUUUUCGUGGGGGAUAACGUAGGGAAACUUAUGCUAAUACCGCAUACGACCUACGGGUGAAAGCAGGGGAUCUUCGGACCUUGCGCGAUUGAAUGAGCCGAUGUCGGAUUAGCUAGUUGGCGGGGUAAAGGCCCACCAAGGCGACGAUCCGUAGCUGGUCUGAGAGGAUGAUCAGCCACACUGGAACGGAGACACGGUCCAGACUCCUACGGGAGGCAGCAGUGGGGAAUAUUGGACAAUGGGCGCAAGCCUGAUCCAGCCAUACCGCGUGGGUGAAGAAGGCCUUCGGGUUGUAAAGCCCUUUUGUUGGGAAAGAAAAGCAGCAGGUUAAUACCCCGCUGUUCUGACGGUACCCAAAGAAUAAGCACCGGCUAACUUCGUG
rnacentral:rRNA from 1 species